ACGACUUUACGAACAGCUUUCGGUCCCCCUUCUGUGUGGGAGCCCUAGGCGAUGGCUCCUUCAAGAGCUCCUUCAAGAUGGGCUCUGGCAAGGCUGAGAGUCAGGUGUCAGCGCAGGUGCGGAGCGGCAGGGUUGGUGGGGCUGGGAAGGGGUUUCCAAGGGGAGGUGAGGCCCGACGAUGACUCUCACUCCUGGCCCCCUCUGCAAGGGAGCCCUCACUGGCGCCUUUCUGUCGAACCUGGGCUCUGGCUACAGUGAGGCGACAGGCGAGCGAGGUUCUUAGGGGGCAGCACAAAUGCAGAGCUCCCGUGUUGGUGGGGCUGGGUUGGGGCUGCCCAGGGAAGGUGUGGGCCAGCAACAGCUUUCAGUGCUAGCCCCUCAGCAGGGGAACCCUGAGCUGGAGGUUCGGGGUGCAGCCGUGGAGCCAAGACAGCCUCCCUGGGAAGGCCCAGCCAGUCUGCUCUGCUCCAGCAGAUACUGGGAUUUGAAGGAAAUGAGUACACUCAAUACAUGUCAGCAAAAAUAAUUCUAUUCUUUAAAAAAAUGCAGAAUCAUGCAAGUAAUUCAAAUGAAAGCAUGCAUGUUAGUCUCUGGGCAGAAUGGCACUCAGCUGGAAAUGAGUAAUUUUUAAUAAAAAAUUUUAAUGGGCUGGUCACUUUCAAGAGCUCACAGCUUGAAUAUCUGAUGCUCUGUUUAAUUUCAGUAUGAUAACAGCAGGAAGACUGCUCUGUCCCAAAAGGAGGUCAUGGCCUGUCAGACUGCAGCGGUGCCAGUAUGAAGUCUCUUCUUUGAGCUAGUACGCGUUGGGAUUCAUCCAUUUUUCCUUUGUGGGCAGACCCACCCAGCCACACACUCCUGCCUGCUGCAAUUUCCUGGAUGUGUCUGAAGGCUCCAAAAGACACAAACAUAUGACCAAAUCCAGAAGCACGGACACUACAGACACUAAGGCUCUCCCUUACCCUUAAGGUCAUGCAAUGUCAAUGGAAAGAAAACCCCACUUCUGGUGUUCCAGACCACUCCUGUUUCCCAAGCCCUCACUGCUAUGAUUCAAUCGUCUCAGCCACCGGUGUUAUACCAAGCAAUACCGAGCUCUGCCAGCACAGUUAUGUCUCAGACUUUGAUCCGGCUUGACCUUUGUUCAUUCUUAAAUACUUUCUCGUGAUGAUACAGUAGCAAUUCAAUAUAUAUUUAACCAGAACAGAAUGAGUUGCUAUGUCUUGCCCUGCUUUUUUUAGACCAGAUAAAAUGGAUAUUACUAACCUCACUUGACUGAGUUGUCAACAGGUUUGUCACCCCAUCCUGUGGCAGCCAGAGCUAGCAGAGAACAUACAGUGAGCAUCUGUGAGACAUUUUGGGAAAAGAAAUAUGCCCCUCUUCUAAGCAAUAUCCUUUUUAGAACUGAUUAUUCACUUUCAGUGUCUUAAUGAGUGUUUUGUGUUUGAAUUCAUUGAUUAAGGAAUUGCAGAAUGAUCACUCAAAACAUGUUACAGGUUUUGCUCAGCGUUUAUAAAUCGAAAGCAAGUGAACUUUUUCAGUGCUCUGUCAAACUAGCUAGACUUUACGAUCUCCUUGGAAAGUGAACACUUGUAGAUGCCAUCUAGCCAGUACGUAAUGCAUUAUUGCUUCAGAAAUGACACAAUGACAAAUUUGCAGGUGGUGAAAACCCACCUAAAUUCCAUAGAUCUGAUCUAAGAAUUCUCCGUGGCCAGGGUUAUGCUCCCAGGGCCUGGUAUUACUAUUUUGUACCCCUGAGAGAGUCUUACCUAUUGUAACAUCACCUCCAAAGAGAGGACCAGGGGACCAAGUGAACACAAGCACUGAUCAAUAUCCAUUGAGAUGAGGAUAGGUAUAGAUCUAAUACGCUGCUGACCAAAACGUCCAUAAAUUUAGCAGGUGACCUAAGUUUUUCCGGAAAAGUUAAAUUUAUAGCCAAGUAAUUCUGGAUAAAUCCUACUGAGAUUUUCUAAAAGUGCCUGAGCAUCUGUGGCAGAAAAGUCCAAAAGAAAUUAAAUGACAUCUGCGUACUCAAAACACCGCAUUUUAAACAAUUCACUGUCUUUCCAAAUUAUUUUUGAUACAUAUUGACCAGUAAGAGCCAAAUGAAUAGUACUGCCAUGGCAUACAGAUGAGAUUGCCCAGCAAGUGAUGGAUAUGCCCCACACACAGAUUUUUAGAUCUCCUGGUUUUAGUUUCUCUCCUGAUGUUUCACUUCUUUUCUCUUACUUUGUAUGUUUAUGACUCCUGGCUUUGUCUUUCACAGUCACAUUGGGUGAGGAAUAUGGAUCUCCCUAUGCCAUCCUGGAUGUGAGAAGGUGGAUGACAUCCCAUGUAUGAAGGACAUUACUUAAGCCUCGCAGCAUGUGCCUAAGGUUAUGUUAACAGUAGCAAAAUGGAUCCUGGCCAAGCUUUGAAAGGGAAGUAUGGAGCAGGGAGUUUUCUAAGGUAAGGGAACAAGUCAAAAAUACAAUACUAAAGGUCAUGGUAUGUUAGAAAAAGCCACAGUGAAUGUCGCAACCUAAUAGUGCUUGUGUUUGUGACACUCCCUAAACUCUGCAAAAGAAAGAAAACUCUCUGACCUGAAAAUACACACCAUAAUUUCUAGCAUAGAGUAGAGGUUUCUUUAGAGAGCAUUUGGAAGGUUAUUUAGAGGCUGGUUUGUUCAUAUUACGGAAUCUAGGAGAUACUUUUGGGAAGACACUGUUACAUCCAUUUAUAAAAUAUUUUUUUUUAUUGUCAAUAGAAAAUCUGUCCCUCAGACCAACAGUAGCUCACAAAUUGAUAGCAUUGUUUUCCUGAACAGUUUCAAAUUCAAGGCAUAACUAAAGGGGUUAAGUACUGCAGAUUGUUUUGCUCUUUGGGCAUCAGAUACUGUAUGUACUACUUCCUAUUGCAAUCUACCAGAUGGAAGCAGAGCUGUUUGUUUACUACCCACACAGGCCUGCAAGGGCAACGGUAUUAACUAGCUGUGUUUAUUUGAUUUCUAGUAUAACAAUUAUGUGCCUUACAGUAAUUCUUAGACUGUGUGCAGAGAUUGAAGGAGAUGGAACUGCUGUUUAGAGGCUAAGCCUAAAAUGAAGGAAGUGAGUUCAAUUCCUUGCUACUCUAGGGACAAAGUGAGGUCCUCAAUGGUGGUCAUCGUUCAAGACAAGCAGAGUACGUGGGAAGUCCAUGCAGAAACCAAUCUGUGCAGUUUCUGUAGUACAGCCAACUCAAGUGAGGCAGAGUGCUGAGUGAGUAAAAAGAGGAAAAAAAUCCUCCAGGAACUGGAGCAGGACAGGAGAAAGCAAGUGUGAAGCUUGGGCAUGGACAACGAUUGCACUGGAAGAAAAGCAGUUUCCAAUCUCCCUGCAUAGCUAUACUGCACAUCCAGGUUACUGAUGCGACUCCUCACCUGCAGCAGUGGUGUGCAGGCUGCUGCUGGGGGCAGGUCCUCUAUGGCAUGGUGCUCUGUGUGUCAUCCUUGCUACAGUUGCUGGGCCUCAGCACCCUCCGCACCCUCAGCACCUGAUCAUCUUCCUCAUCAGAUACUCUGGUAUGCUUGUGUGCUUGCUGUGGCAGCAAAUAUCACAGCUCUUCUGUGGAUUCAUGGUGCUAACCCUUGCAUAAAGAUAUUUAGUUCCUCACUCUGCCUGUAUGAAUUCUGUUGCAGGAUUCUGGGCAUCCACUUUCUUCCCCUUCAGCUCCUGCUGUGCCCUGUUGCCUUUGCUGGCCCUGAUGACACUUGGAAUCUUCUUGCAUCCUUACCGGGAAGAGAUGAAACAUGCAUUUAAAAGGCAAGCAAACAUUGCCAUAACCUCUCAAGUGGUCUCUAGGAACACUGUGGGGGUAAGGGGGGAAGCACAGACAUCAAAGCAGUGCCAGAUAUUCAUAAAUAGUACCCAAAUUGGGCAGUACCCACAGUUAUGCUGAGAUUUUUUAACUGCCCAAGACAGCUAUGAUGCAGUGGGAACAUUCUGAUACCAGCCCUGGUUCUCCAAGAGUGAAGCAGCACAGGGUGAUGAACCAGUUAGCAGACUGUCCAAUACUGUGCUUUAAAUACAGGGUUACAAAGAUGGAUCCCAACUAUAAAGUUCAAAGCUGCAGCUGCAAAACCAGGAUCUUAGUUAAUGUUCAUAAAUGUUUAAAUUAGAAGCCCAAAUUUUCCAUUCAUCUGCCAUGAAACCUCUGUCGUCAAGCUAGGGGUUUGGAGGUUUUUUUGCCUUUUUUUUUCCCCAUCAGAAACUGAUGUCAACACCAACAAAGUCAAUGGCCAGUUUUUACCACUAAUGCCUUACUAGGGAGGAAAAUUAUUUAAAGACUGGAGAACUGCCAGGUUCAAAAGCUAGUUAGGUAAUUGUUUUAUUCUACAGUUUUCUGUUCUCCUGUUCCAUUUAUUCUCCUCCCUGCAUGAGGAAGCCCCUUCCAGAACAAGCCAUUUGUCACGUUGAUCUUUCUUCCUCACUUAAUUGGCAAAACUUAUUGCCUUUAUAUAUUUAUAAUUUAAUAUUUCCUGAGCACAUUGAUGUAUCUACAUAUAUAAAGGCAAAGCAAGUCUGGAAAAUAUGCUUUACACUUGGUGCAGUGGAGUUUAUGGCACUCUUCACCUAAAUAUAAGCAGGUUAAAGAUUGGCUCUGUGGGUAAGUAGCUAAGAAAAUCACUACAAUAUUUUUCAGUUUCUGGAGAAAUUGAAGCAUUUAGUCAUGUUUAACAGAGACCAUCCUAAUAAGCAAUAAAAAUUGUUACAGACAGCAAAAUGUUUGACUAACCUAUUUACCAACAUUAACUUCAGCUCCUAUCAAGGUGGGCAGCAGAAAGUAAACCAAGCAGCGCACAGGUACUUUUGUCCUGUUUGGCUGACUCUUUGUAGUGAUGUAAGCAUGCAGCGGACUUUGUCCAUAUUUUUGACUGAAUAGUUAAAUUCAGUGUAAUUCUGCUCAGUUUUGUGGUUGUACAGCAAGGACAAGUUCUACCCAUACAUAUCUAAAACAUACAUCACAACCACAUGAAGAGCUGAGAACAGAUAAGAAAAGGUGCCUGGAAGCACAGUUUGCCGAAGUAUUUCGCAAACAAGUUUUCCAGGACCUAAAAAAAAAUAAUACACAUGACUUUGUGGGCUAUUUACUAACCUGUAGGCAGGUCAGCUUCCUUGCCAUAUCUGCCAGGCUGCCUCUCAAAAUGCUGGCAGCCAGGGAAUGACUAUUGCAAAGCCCCACGUUCUACCUGCUGGAGCUUUACACUCCUGUUGUCUGUAAGUCUAAGGCUACUUUGCAUUUGUGCCUGGUAAGCUAAUGAGUUUAAGAAUUACAUGGACGACCUGCUGGCUGACUAGAAUACCACUACCUAGAAAUAUGUUCCUGCAGUUUAAUGAAGGAAGAGAAGGAUCAUGGGAAAAAUAGCUAAGACA